CUGAGCUGGUGAUGAGAUGGUUAUCCCUGUCCGAAACGUUCCGCUGUGGAAGCGUGACUCUGAGGCUCAG
ensembl:snoRNA